GGAAAAGAAACCAACCGGGAUUCCCUAAGUAACGGCGAGUGAACCGGGAGAAGGCCAACGCCGAAUCUCGUCGGCCGCGCCGGUCGUCGAGAGCUGUGGCGCAAGGGUCGUACACGGUCGAUCGUUUCGCCCGGCUAGGUUACGAGAGGUCGGUAGAGUGUCGUGUAAGGAAAGAGU